rnacentral:rRNA from 1 species
UACGGGGGGGGCAAGCGUUGUUCGGAAUUACUGGGCGUAAAGGGCUCGUAGGCGGCCAACUAAGUCAGACGUGAAAUCCCUCGGCUUAACCGGGGAACUGCGUCUGAUACUGGAUGGCUUGAGUUUGGGAGAGGGAUGCGGAAUUCCAGGUGUAGCGGUGAAAUGCGUAGAUAUCUGGAGGAACACCGGUGGCGAAGGCGGCAUCCUGGACCAACACUGACGCUGAGGAGCGAAAGCCAGGGGAGCAAACCGG